AUGGCCAAGAUUAAGGCCCGAGACCUUCGCGGCAAGAAGGAGGAGCUGCUGAAACAGCUGGACAACCUGAAGGUGGAGCUGUCUCAGCUGUGGGUCGCCAAAGUGACAGACUGCACGGUAUCCAAGCUCUCCAAGAUCCAAGUCGUCUGCAAAUCCAUUGCUCAUGUUCUCAAGUUAUUAAGCAGACUCAGAAAGAAAACCACAGGAAGUUCUACAAGGGCAAGAAGUACAAGCCCCUGAAUCUGCGGCCUAAGAAAAUGCAUGCCAUGCACCCCCAGCUCAACAAGCACGAGGAGAACCUGAAGACCAAGAAGCAGCAGUGGAAGGAGCAGCUGUACCCACUGCGGAAGUACGCGGUCAAGGCCUGAGCCUCCAUGAAUAAAACACAACUGGCUGA